UCUCGCUUAUGGCUGACACCGAGGAAACGCAGUGGAGAUGGGCACCCGGGCUGCCCAGAUCCUCUGACAGCCUCAGGCGCUCGUCCGCUUCGCUCCUCCUCCGCCUUUGCCGCCGCCGCCGCAGGGUAUUUUCACACACACAUGAAACACUAACAUGCUCCCCAGAGUCAAAAGAAAAGAAGUUAUAAUCAGAAAAUUUGCAAGAGAAUGUUGCAUGCUGGGAGUCACUCAAGGGAUAGAACGGAAGUAUGCGCCAGAAAGUCUAAUAUGAUGGGGAGACCACUUUGGGCUCUAUUUCUUCAAAGGAUUAAAAAUUAAGUUACUGAACACCUAGAAGGCAGAAAAGCAGCCUCUUUCUCCAUUUGCAGAAGCCAAGCAACCCGGUGGGGCUUCUGUAUGCAUCAUCUCUUUUACUCACUUUCUAAACGCUGUAACCGUCCACCAUCUACCAGGCGACCACAAGCCAUCCCUAAAGUCAAUUUUGAGGUUAACUCACUCGACUUGAGAGGGAUUCACCUGUACCACCUCUGCAGCUGUAAUGUGAGAAAUAAACUCAAACAUCCAAACCCAAAGAAUGGACUCAGAGACCCGGAGAACAACGAAAGUGAGACUUUUAAUGACGGUCUUGCGAGAUCAAGAUCGGGUGUCGGGCAUGCAGGCACACCCAGAAGUUUCAACAAGCAAUUUAGCCCCUAGUGCGCAAGUCCCUCCCCCAGUUCCUCAUAGGCUGAGUGCUAUGGGGUUACAAUUUUCUCGGAGUUUGCCUAUUGAUUGUUAGGCAAGGGCUUUAGGUGUUUCUUUUUUAGGGUUGUCUUGCUGCAUUUUGUUGCAGCCCACAAUGCAUUGCAAUCCUGGUUAGCUCAGGGGUUCUUUAAGUAUUUGACUUACGACCUAAGUAGCUGGGCAGGCUGAUAAGAACAGAGAAAGUGAGCUAUUUUGCAGACUAGUAAACUUAUAUCUUAGACUAAACUGUUUUCGUUUCGGUGAGAGCAACUAAGGAUCGGGAGAAGGGGGAGGAAAGAGGUGGGGGGCGACAAGCAGGCAUCCACUAUCCAAGCAGGGGCCUAGUAUAUCCGGUUUCUUCUGUACUUUGCUGACUUAAGCCGAUUUAAGGCACUUUGUCUUGGAAAUGGACCACUGUAUACAUUAUUUCCUUCAGUAAUAGGACUAAGGAAACGGUGGCUGCACUUGCAUUUAUCACGGAUUGUACAGCGACUUAGCCUUUCCGCAGCCGCUGUCCGGCUCUGCAGAGUCCCUUUGAGAAAAGAGCUGGACAAGAGGAGUAAAGGAGCUCCUUGCAAAUGCCAGGAGGAGUUUCUUCAGGAGUAAAGUUGGCUUUCCAUAGGCUUCUAAGAGAAAUAUGUGGAGCAAACAAAUGGGCACUUUCUUUCUCAUCUUUUGCAUUUCAGGCAAAAGCUAAUAAAAUUAGAUGUUUCCACCGUC